rnacentral:rRNA from 1 species
AUACAGAGGGUGCGAGCGUUAAUCGGAAUUACUGGGCGUAAAGCGCGCGUAGGCGGCUUAUUAAGUCAGAUGUGAAAUCCCCGGGCUCAACCUGGGAACUGCAUCUGAUACUGGUAAGCUAGAGUUUUGGAGAGGGAAGUAGAAUUUCGGGUGUAGCGGUGAAAUGCAUAGAGAUCUGAAGGAAUACCAGUGGCGAAGGCGACUUCCUGGCCAAAAACUGACGCUGAGGUGCGAAAGCGUGGGUAGCAAACGGGAUUAGAAACCCUAGUAGUCC